GAGAACUCUACUCAAGAAUUCACUCUUUUUUUUCUUCCAUAUCAACAUAGCAUAGGUUACUGCACUUCCAUUAAACUCGAGUGUCAGCAGCCUUUCCUCUGAGGUAUGUGAGUGUGUAUAUUUCUCUUAUUUGAGGAAAUGUAACUUUUGCACAAGUGCACAUUUGUCUAAAUUUUAAUAGAACAUGAUUUGUAAUAUAAUAUUUUGAAGUUUGCACGUAAGGGAAUAAAAACCAUAUAAAACACUGACAUUAAUUGAAGGUUAUGUUUGUAUAGUAUAGUGUAAAUUAUAAGAAUAUAUCACAUUUUUCUAAAUUAAAGAAAAAGUUAUGCAAUAAAAUUAAUUGUUUUGAUUCAACUAUAUUAAUUCUGGGUAAAGUGGCUUGCUCUGUUACCAUAACAGCAUGUUGCACCAGUGUUAUAUGGUGUCCAAGAAGAUGCUUAAAAUUCUUCUCAAGGCCUUCUAAGUUAAACUAUAAAGUGUCAGCCAACAAGCAAGAUACAUUGCCAAGAAUCUAGGAAUACAGUGAAUCACAUAAAAUGUAGGUGGGAAUCUUAUUCCAUUAUGAGUAUAGUCACAAACUAGAGAAACUGGGUGUUAACAUACAGUUAAUGCUAAAUUAGAGCUUAAAUUCAUUAAGGGACUUUUUUAAAUUAAAAUAAUGUUUAUUUGAGUGUACCACUUCAUUUAAUUGUAUGUAAUAAUAUAUAUUUUCAUACAGAAAAAUAGUGAUGCAUUAACUAUAGUUAAUAAUCUGUAAUUGAUAAUUAGUCUUGCCCCAAGAGGAAUGUUAACUGAUGUAAAUACAUAAUCACUGCCACUAUUAGGCAUUUCAGUCUUAGCAUAUAUUUUUACUUAUUUUGUUAAUAACUUCAAAUCUAUUUUUGUUUUUUGUUUAGCGAAUAAUUUACUCAAUGCAUAUAUGUGUGAUGACUUGUACUCUAACCUUAAGAUUAGGGUUACGGAUAGAGACAGAGAAAAAAAUAUUGACCAGUUGAACAGUUUACUAUUGGUAUUGGAAAGCCAAAUAUAUGGUUCGAGAUUAGGUUUAGGAAACAAAAUGUAAGAGAUUGAAAUUAGCAUUAGGUUAAAGUAUUUGUAUUUUUAGGUAUAAUAUUAAUAACCACUAAUUUUAGAUGUUACGCUAACAUUAGGAAACCACAUGUAAGAGUUUAGCAUUAAAUGGCUAAGUUAAAUGGUAAAUAUUAAGGUUUAGUUCAAGUAGAUUUUUGUAUUUGUUUAGGUCUUGGAUUAGGUGAUAUCUCUACUCAAACUCCACUUUCAUAAAGUUGUCAUCAUCACUCAAAUCUCGGGUCUUGUAUUAGAAUUGCAUACAGAUUAGUGAUGAUGCUAAAUAAGUAUUGAAUUUAUUAUAUGCAAAAUCAAUUUGUGUCAAAAAAUGUGUGUAUAUGGUCAGUGUUGUAUGAUAGCCGUUCCAUAAGUGUCUCCAUGUACACCUCCUUUUGAAUGGCAGUUUAGCGCUAUCAAUGAUUAAAUUCUGAGCCACCUACAUGGGGCAGUGAUCACAAUGAUCACAAAGCAAUAUGUCGCUAUAUAAAAAAAAUAAAAAUAAUAUAGAAAACAUGAAAAUAUUGCAGUGUUCAUAGGUAUUAGGUACAAGUGUUUGGAGCACAGGUAGCUUAGAGAGUGGAAAAAAAGACAAGAAACGGGAAGAGGUUUUUCAAAAUCCCACACCUUUCAAAAAGAUAUAUAGAGUUAAGGCAUAAUUAGUUCCCUAGGGUUGCUAACCUCCCCAAUAUACAAGGUGGAAAUAUCACACCUUAAAGAACUUGCAGUUUUAUAUUUCUACCACUAGGCGUCAAAAUGAUCUAAUGCCUAUUAUCUUAUAUUAAAUUUUACUGUAAUACACAGUUUGUUCUCUAGGGGCAUCCACCUCCCUAAACCCUGACAUGGGAUUUUAAACCUGGAGACCCUGUUAAAUCAAAGACCCAUAAGGGGCAGCAGUCUAAUUUAUAGGGCAAAACUCCAGCCUAUCUCAGAUAAUACAGAAUAUAUUUAUAUAUUAUUUUAUAAAUUAUACUUGAUUUGAACAGUAUUACUUAGUGUAUUUCCUCCCCUUUUUUGUUUCUUAUAUCUGAUAUUGCACGCUGACACAAACAUUAAUUGGGAAAGAGAAGAUGAACUAAGAGUACUAUUUUCUGUCACCAAUUUAUUGCAAUUGUACAAAAUAUAGGUUUUAAGGGGUUAAGGAAGCAUGGUCCUGUUUUAACAAUUUCUGCUUACUUUCAGUAAACUGUCAAUAUGUAAUUCAGGAGCUGUAAAAGUCAUUGUGGUACGUUUACAAAUAUAUUAUUACUGAAAUAGAUCUGGAAGAUCUUGAAAAGACUCGCCAGGGUCGAGACGUAGAUUUUUGUCUCAGAUGUAAUUAUGUUUCAUUAAACCACAUUUUUUGCACUUGAAGUCCCGUGAGUGCACCUUUGAUUAUAAUGUUGCCUAUUUCUAUAUAUAUAUAUAUAUAUAUAUAUAUAUAUAUGUAUAUAUAAAACACAGUUAAUGGCACUCACCCUUGCUCCUAUAAAAAAUAGUAUAUGUGCCCUGGUGCAAUCCUGAGGAAGACCCUAUUGGGUCGAAAUGUCGAUCAAGCAAUCUGUAAACCCUUUAUGGAUUAAAUAUUACCAUUAUGCGUCUAAAGACCUUUUGAGUGCAUCCUUUUUUCAAACAAUACUAUAUGUAUAUAUAUAUAUAUCUUACCAUUUUAUGUUAUACAUUAUAUAUUAUAUAGUUAUAAAUCUCUUAAAAUUUUUAUAAUUCUUUAUUUCUGUUGUGCAGGGGAUAACAAUCAUGAUUGCAAUGCCACAAUUGCAGUAAGAAGCAUUUCAAAAGCAUACAAUGUCAUGCCAUAGGGAAUUGUCACACAUUUUUUUUUUUUAAAGUAGUAGUAUAACACACAUGAGUAUUAGAUAAUUAAGACAUGUCUAACUAUGAAGUGAGGAGUAAGCUGAUCAUAAACAAGCUGGGUGGUAGUUCAAUUUUAUUUGGUUUAUGCAAACCUGCUGUAGAAGCUAGACAUGUAGUUAGUUUGUAAAUACUUGGAGUGUAACCAUGCUAAACUAUGCUGAUAUUUAAAUAGGAAGAAGUAGACAAAUAAAUAAAAAUGUCAAUAUCUAACAAGAUGUGGGUGCACUGGGAGCUAAUAUCUUGGGAAUAUCGAGAAGAAACAACAACACUGCAGCGGUUAGAGUCAGGCGCAGAGUAAAUGGAGGAUCCCUCAUGCUUCAAUCAGCCUAACCACUAAUGGGCCAGAUAAGGUAGGGUAUAUUGGAACCAGGCAGUGCUUCUCCUCCUGCCAUCCACAUAUAAUAUAGAGGUACCUCAGCUUGAGAUGCAAAUACCAGUGACAGGUGCAGUCCUUUCUUCCAUACCCACUCUCCACCUCCAGCACAGGCCAUCCUGGGAGCCGGUGCCUGGUAUCCCUUGAUCCUCUUUCUCCCCUUGGAGAGAUUGCAUGCUCACUGAGUAUUUUGCGUCGGGGUGCCCCUCAGACACGUGGACGACAUUGUAAGCAUUGCUCCAUGUGGGCUCCCAUCCCAGAUGAGAAACAGUGAGCCUGAAGGGCAAGGGAGCAGCUUUCAGGCUGCUGUUUACGUGUUGCCAAAACACCUGGCAUAUCCUGUCAUACGUUGCCUCAAAGGCUCCAUCUCCGUACCUCCAGACUCAUUUGGUUCAGGGGUUGUUUCGGUGCAUCCACCAUUUUGGAUAUGACUCGUGGUAGGAGGUCAAUCAAAUUCUCAGGAACUGCUGCAGCAGUGAGAAAAAAAGAUUCGCCCCAAUCGCUUACCAUUUUAUGUUACACAUUAUAACAAAGUAAAAACCAAAGAAAAAAGUUACCUGCGCUCUUUCCCAAAUCCCUAUGUAUAUUUAAACAAAUGGAGGUUUUUAGUUACCUUCAAUGGCCAUGAGAGGGUAUGCCCACCUGCCACGUCAAGGCAGAUCUCUUUGGUGGGUCCUAACUCUAAUCAUUCACCUUGCUUCAUUGAGCUACUGGCAAAGAUAUCUCUAAUGAGACAGAAAGGGGUAUUCUUUAUAUACAUUCCUACAUGCUUAUUAACCGUUAAUGGGGAGCACAUGGGAUGGGCAGCAGCAUUGUAACAUAGCUGUGUGAUAUGAAAGUGAAUACAAAUACAGAAAAACAAGUCCUGCGGCAGCAACGGCCAUAGUACACAUCAGCCCAAAUACAUACAAUAAAAAUCAAAGAAAAAAGUUACCUGUGCUCUUUCCCAAAUCCCUAUGAAUAUUUAACCCCUUAAUGACACAUGACAUGUGUGACAUGUCAUGAUUCCCUUUUAUUCCAGAAGCUUGGUCUUUAAGGGGUUAAAUAAAUUAACAUAUUAUAACAAAGCACUACUUUUUUUUUUUUUUUUAUUGUGUAUGUUGAGUGAACUGAAUGAGAAAGCAACAAAAACAGCAAAAAAUGCUCAUAAAUGUUCAGUCCCCUAUGCAUGAAAUCAUAGUCAGAGGUUAAAUCAGCAGAACUGCUGGUAAACGUAUACAGAUUUUUUUGUAAACCUAAAAAAGAUAUGUCUCCGGUUCUCAGCUGUCAAUUAAUUCCCCAGCAUAUAGGGCUGUGCUAAUGGCCAGGCAAAAUAUGCCUAGGGAUGUCUGCCAAAACAGUAGAUUCCUAUCGUCGGUUCUCCUGUUCACCAUCACAAUAAACUUAGGGCAUGCACUGGAAUUGCUAUUAUUCUUACUUUAGUAAACAAGUAUUAUGCUUUACUAGAGAUAUACUGAAAGGGCAGAUCUUCAGAUGCUGAUGGGUUGGCAACCAAGCAAGCAUGUUGAUGUCAUUGGUAGGAACUUCCUGCUUCGUGAACGAUUCCAACCAGGGGAUAAUUGAGUAGAAGGGGUGAGGGAGGUAAUAGGGAACAACUGGUAGUUAUUACAUUACUUAAAGACCCACAAACCCCACAUGAUUGCAGUGUAACAGUUGGGGAGGGGCUAACAAUUAAAAAAGUCACUGAAUUAUGUAAUUUAUCUCUAAAUUUUUUGGUCAUUACCUAAAGGAUUACUCCAAACAAAAAAAGCUGUUUUAAUAAAAGUAAUGGGAGUAACCCUUAUUUUUCUACUCCUGCCGUAAACAAAAAGUGGAAACGUGGAAAAAAAAAAUUAUAAAAGCAAUGACUUACCUACAUUUCAUUGCCGGGGCCAAGGUCUAUUAGCAGCCAAAUCCUCCUCCAGUGAUUCACUCCCCUUUGCUGGAGGGGGAGGUAUGUAACAGAGAAUGGGCUGAAGGUCAACACUGAGGGACAGCCAUCCUGUUAUCGGUAGUCUCUCUUUCAUCAGCGUGCUGAUGAAAGACAUUCAAUAUGUUACAAAAAAUGUUCCAGGCUGGCUAAUGACACUCUAGCAAUGCUGCUGGAGAUGGUGUUACACCCCUGGGAGGAAAAGACUAUCUCUCUGUGUGUGCAGCAUUUCAUGGGGAAAACUGCACAUAUAGACUCCACUGAAGUGGACCUGGUGCUUGUACUAAACUUUUAAGGAGAUUUUAAUCAUUAACAUGAUCCUGUAAUCAAAUGGGGUUACUUUAAUAAUAAUAUUCUUUGAAUAUAAAUUAGUUCUGAAAUUCUUAAAGGGACACUCCAGUGCCAGGAAAACAAUCAGUUUUCCUGGUACUGCAGGUCCCCUCUCCCUGCCACCCCCAUCCCAAGUUGCUGAAGGGGUUAAAACCCCUUCAGUGACUUACCUGUAUCCAGCGCCGAUGUCCCUCAGCGUUCAGGGUCCACCCACGCUCCUCCCCCGCCGGCAUCAUCCGGCGGGGGAGACCUAUUGCGCAUGUGCAUGGUAGUUGGAGUUGGCACCCAGACCACUCCAAGUGUAAAAAAACAGAAAUAAAAUAUCCAUUAGAAAGAAGUUGUGCUGCGGGCGCCAUCUUGGGAGCCUCUCGUGGUGCAGGCCUCACAAAGGAAAGCCUGAUGUCCGGUAAACUCGGGCUUUCAGGCACCCAAAAUCUUCUGUUCUUGUGGCCCAUAUUGUCAUCUGAUGGUGUCUCCUUGGGGUAGUUUAGCUAAAGGAAAGCCUUUUUAAUUGCGGUGUCUGUUCAGAGCUUCUCUGGAACACACCUGGUAAGUCUCAUAGUUGGUCACGCCCCGUUACAUUGGUAUUUUGCUGAACAAUUCACUUAAAGCAGCUCUGUCACCCCCUCCCCCCAACUCCCCAAAAAUUAUCAUUUCAUAAAAUAAAAAUCUUGUAUACAAUUAAAGACAACAUGCUAGUAAUAAUACAAAUCUUUAUGAUUUUAUAUAUUCUUGUUAGAUUUUAUUUUAUAAAUAUUUAUAUUUGCAACAAACAAUAUUAAUGUAUGAAAUAAUAAAAAUAAAUAUUUAUUUGAUAUUUUUUAUUUAUUUUUCUUUAAUUGACAGUAAAUGAAGACAUCACCGGACAGGUAUAUGUUAUUCUUAUAUUGUUUCUCUUGAUAGUUUACUUAGGGAAGUAAGAAUGUACUGUAAGAAAAUAUAUUUUAUUCAGCUACUUUUGUAAAUGUUUUAAUUUUAUUUUUAAAGUGCACUGUUGUUUAUACAUCUGAAUAAUGACAUAAUAUAGACACAGGCAAUAGAGAUAUACAUGGAAAUGAGGUCAAACUUCUCAAGAUAAUCUGCAUGGUUUUUGGGUUAUAGAACAACAUAUAUAAACAAGUGAAACAUUUGUGUUCUAACAUUGGUUUUAAAAAAGAUUUGUAGUCGAUUUAUGUGUUUUGGACACAAAGGUGAAAAACAAUAAAAUGUUGUCAUGAAAUAUCAGACAUGUCUAGGCUUGAAACAUUUUUUAAACUUGUUUUCUAUUAUUUUUUUAUUUUUAUAUAAGCUUCAAAAACAAUAUUUGUAUUUUAAUAAUUAAUAUUAGGACAAUAUAUGCAGGAAGACACGAUAGGGAAGUGUGCCUGUUACAUUGCUACCUACACAAUAAGUGUGUAGUGCUUGGGUUAUCCAUUUAAUUGAUUUCACAUGUGAUUUUUCACUUUACAAGUUUUAACAAUGUAUUCAGUAGUUAUAACAACAUUUUUAACAAUGCAUGUAUUGUUUUCACCUAUAUUGUAAACUUUAUUACACUUACAUAUUUUAAAUUCUUUUUAAAAUCGUAGUAGUUUUGUCCUCAUUUCUAGGCUUCCCUUAACUAAAAAAUAAUGGGUGUAUUUUAAAUUUUCCUUUUUUUCAUUUAACAUUAGAUUUAAUAAGUAUAUCUAUCAGAUUAAACAUUAUUUUACUUAUGAAAUAGAUAAGUAGGAGUUUCUGGGCCAAAAUAUAUCUUGAAUGUUAUUGAAAAUGUGGCCAGAAUACAACAGACAACAUAUCCUUGUUGAAAUUGUAAGCCCAAUGUAGUCAAUUUAAAAUAAAUAUAUUUCUACUCUCUCUCUCACUAUCUACCUAUCUAUCUAUCUAUCUAUCUAUCUAUCUAUCUAUCUAUCUAUCUAUCUAUCUAUCUAUCAUCUAUAUCAGGGCUUGAGAAAUCCUAUGCCUUGGCGCUUGGGAUAAGUGAGUGUGGUGUGUGUGUGUGUCUGUCUGUGUCAUGGUGUGUGUGUAUCUGUCAUGGUGUGUGUGUGUCUAUCUGUCUGUCAUGGUAUGUGUGUGUGUUUGUCAUGGUAUGAGUGUGUGUCUGUCUGUCAUUGUAUGUGUGUGUCUGUCUGUCAUGGUAUGUGUGUGUGUGUCUAUCUAUUAUCUAUAUCAGGGCUUGAGAAAUCCUAUGCCUUGGCGCUUGGGAUAAGUGAGUGUGGUGUGUAUGUGUGCGUCUGUCUGUGUAAUGGUGUGUGUGUGUCUGUCAUGGUGUGUGUGUGUGUGUGUGUGUCAUUCUGUCUGUCAUGGUAUGUGUGUGUGUAUCUGUUUGUAUGUCAUGGUAUGUAUGUGUGUUUGUUUGUCAUGGUAUGAGUGUGUGUCUGUCUAUCUGUCAUUGUAUGUGUGUGUGUGUCUGUCUGUCAUGGUAUGUGUAUCUAUCUAUCUAUCUAUCUAUCUAUCUAUCUAUCUGUCUGUCUCUCUCUCUAUAUAUAUAUAUCUGUCUGUCUGUCUGUAUAUCUAUCUAUCUAUCUAUCUAUCUGUCUAUCUCUGUCUCUAUAAUAGUUUCAUAUUUAAAAGGGCGUUCUUAUUUACAAUAUUGUCUUUUGUAUGCAUGCAUUGAUGCAAGUUAUUUUUUUUACUGAAACAGUUGGAAGUUGGAAAAUUAGUUUUAAAAAAAGUGACACCAUCCUCUAGUGGGGUGAUAUGUAAAUUACAUGUGCAAAGAAAAAGUAUUUAAAUCAGAAUGUUGAUACAUUUUUUAUUAUUUAAUAUCAUUUACAAAUAUAGAUAUGUACUUGCAAUAUGGAUAUCUCAGCCUAGAUGUUGAAAAUUGAUUAUCACCUUACCACAACUCACUCUUAAAUAAAUAUUGCAGUGUGUACUUAAAACCCUUUUGCCUUCUUACUCAGUAAAAUUCUGUUUUUCAUUAAUUUACAUAGAAUGUGUUCAUAUGAUGACAAUAAGUCAAUUACAUCAAUUUAUUUUGCAUACUAAGAAAGACACUACACAUGCCCACAUAUAUUCACAGAUGUGCCAAGGCAAUAGAACUCAUUAUAUAAAUUGCAUCCAUGGGCAUGCCCCAUGUCCAUAGCAAUGUUGUGCUAGACCAUGAUCCUUCUUGGUUGGCAUUAUAUGGAACAACAAAGCAGAUACCUCAACCAAUAAGGAGUCCUCCGAACCCUCAGUUUUAUUAUUUAGUUUUCAUCCUACAGCCCAAGAAAUGUAUUUAUUAUUCGAUUUAUUCAUUCUACUAAUUUGUAAUCUAUUUAACAUUUCAUCAUGUCAGGGCUAAUGGUAAUUUAGAGUGCUCUGUGACUCAUUUAAACUGAUUUAGAAAGGCUUUCGUUUUGAAAUGAUUGGCUCAAGUUAGAGGUAGGUUUACACAUUUUACAAGAUAUUGAAGACCCCCAAAUAGUUUGCCUGGCUGGCUCCUCCUUCCCUAAGGUCAGACAUCCAGACAGACUGAAGGAAGGAGGGAAGUUGCACAUGGAGAGUGAUACAGAGGCAGAUUGUAUUUGGCAAGGAAAGGAAGAGGUCUGAAAAGGAAAAAAAAUAGGUUCUGAGAAGGUAAGGAACUAAAAAAGGCUGGGUCAACGAGGAAAGUGAGUGGGGCUGAGAAGAAUAGAAGUGCUGGAAAUAAAAUGGAUUGAAACAAGGUGGGGAGUGAGAAUGAAGUUAUAGGUGGGUCUGUGAACAGAAAUCAUUCAUUCAUAUUUGCGUGUAUUUUUUUACAUAGGAUAAUUAAUGUAAUUAUUAGUGUUUAAAAUAAGAUCUAAUAUCAGUUAUUAUUUUUUUGUUUCAAUUCACAAUCUCAGUGCAGAGUGUAGAAUGUGUGAAAUUGAAUGGAUGUCUAUCGUGUGUCUCUGUGCAUGAAUGCAGAAUUGUAUUAUACUCCUGUAUGUGUAAAUAUUGAGGUGUAUUGUUUAUCAGUGUGCAUGAAUGCAGGGAUAUAUUUGUGUAAUAUGUAUUUGUCCAUGAAUGCCGGAGUAUAUAUGUGUGAUGUGUCUCUGUGCUUGAAUGCAGAGGUAUAUGUUGUGAUGUGUUUGUGUGCAUGAAUACAGUAGAAUUUGUUGUGUUGUAUCUAAAUGCAUGAAUGCAGGAGUAUAUUUGUGUAGCGUGUAUGUGUUCAUUAAAGGGACACUGUAGGCACCACCAGACCACUUCAGCUCAUUGAAGGGGUUUGGGUGCUGUGUCUCUUUUGCACUUACUGCUGCAAUGUAAAACAUUGCAUUUUCAGAGAAUUGCAAUGUUUACAUUGCAGCUCUAAGUCUGCCCUUAGUGACUGUUUAGCAGACAGCCACUAGAGGGUUUCCAGAAUCGAAAUUGACCUUCGGUACGUUGUCUGACGCUGGACGUCCUCACGCUCUGCAUGAGGACAUACAGCAUCAGAUUUUUUCCCCAUGGGGAAAUCCUAAUGCGAGCGUGGCCAUUUAUGGCUGACAUUGGCAGGGGAGGAGCGUGGGCGAAGCCUGACCCAGCACCAAGGGACAUCAGCACUGGAUUUAGGUAUGUGACUGAAGGGGUGUUGACCCCUUUAAUAUAAUAUAACAGUAUGCUGCCUGUCUGUAUAGAUUCUGCAACUGUGAUGCAAAAGCGAUACUGUCAGAAAGAAAUGUUUUACUAAUGUUUUACCCAAAGUAAAGCAUUAUUAAUUAUAUAAUUUUAUUUUUUUUUAAUUUUGGUAAUGAAAAAAAGUGCUCCUCCAAUAAUGAGACUCAGGGGUACUAGAGUGCAGUAAAAUGUUUACUGCCUUCAUAGAUCUCUUGCAGCAGAUGAGUUCAGUCAUGCCCUGUUAAGGUCAGAUGGCAGGGCCAGUAUGAUGGUGGCAGGCUCUCCUCUGUGACUGACUGCUGCAAAUGGCAUUAGUGGAACAUACUUUGUCACUUACUGCUAACAUGGAAUUCGUUGCAACUCCUUCAGCUUCCCUUCAUUACCUUUCAGCCUAUGCAUUCAGGGCACAAUUCUAGAAUGCCACUGGGUCCAUUGAAUGAGCAUUCAGGAGAACAGGUUCUUCUGUCCAAUCUACCCAAACUGCAGUACAAUCCUUCUACAUAGCAAAAUAAACUGUAAGCAGUUUUCUAGUAACUUAGGUAAAUAUUCCCUUCCAAAUGUAAUAAAAUUUUUCUCUUAUUACUCCACAGGAGGGUGAAAUUUUUCUCUUAUUACUCCACAGGAGGGUGAGUACUUUGCAAAUGAGCCUUCAAACUCCAGCACUCAAAGCUUAAGCCCAACAAUAAACCCCUUACCUUAAUCUGAUGUUCAACUCUUCUUAAAAAAAAUUUGUUUAUCCUGUGUUGCAAUAAUACAUUUAACUCAAGUAACCAUAAACCCACUAUUUAUAACUAGCCCUUAAACUACAACUGUAAACCCUCUCAAGCUAUUAAUCUUCUUAACACUAACCAGCAUAUGUAAUCUAGCACUGACAUUAACCCCUCUCUAACCUUAAACCCACCUAUACCCUAACCACUUCUAACACUGUUAACCUUUAAUGCAUUUAUACAGCUGCAUACACUCAUUGUACUCAGAUGCAAACACAGAUACAUUACGAGCAGAGCAAAAAUAUGCACAUACAUAGAUUUAUACAUAUAUAGUUGUCAAAUAAGAUUAUGAGUAAUUUAGAAGUUUUUAGGCUAGCAAUGUCAACUUAAUACAUUAAUUACACUUACUUUAUCUGCCUUAUUUUUGGGUUUGGGAGCAGGGGGCACUUUAGAAUUGUGUUCCUACAUGUACCUGCCAUGUAAAGCCGGUCCUUAUUUUAAGAUAAUUUUUUUAAAGUAAAGAAACAAACUGAAAGGAUUAAAGCAGAAUAUGUUUGAAAGAAACCAGUUUGGACAGAAAGGGAUAUGCUAUGAGUGAUGUUUUAAAUUCAACUUUCUGAUUCCAGAGAUUGUACUAAAAUGUCCAGAAUACAUUAGACAGAUAUGUCCUUUGACAGCUUUGAUGCUCCUCUUUCUUAUACUCAUCUUCUUCCACAUAGCCCCCUCCCAAUGCUUUAAUUUGCAUUACUGCAUCCCUCUCAUAUUUUCCACUUGAAAUGUUAGUAUUUUCUAGUUGACUGCACCCCACAAACAUUGUGGCUGAGCAGUGUAAGGGGUGUGUUUGUAUCUAGUGUUGGAGUUUGAAAUCAGGGGUGUAUUUGUGUCUAGUUUUUGGUGUUUGAAUCCAGGGGUACACUGGCACACAAGCAGAUACAAACAUAUAUCUACACAUACACACACGGGCAAGCACAUAGAUAUACACACAUACCUACAUGUACAUACACACAUUGGUACAGUUACAAACAUAUACCUACACAGACAUAUACACAAACACUGUCACACAUACACAACUACACACCCUGACAUACACAGAUACAAACAUAUACCUACACACACACUGGUACAUACACAGAUACACACACAUACAAAUACACUGGCACACACAUAUACACACACUGAUAUGCACAGAUACACACCCAUAACUAAAAACGCACACUGACACACAAUGAUACACACACAUACCUACAAAUACACACACUGGCAAACAAACAGAUACACACACAUAAGUCACAAUUUAUAUAUUGUUAACCAUCCCCUACUUCCAUACCAUUUGGGUGCAGGGGGUGGCUUCCCUGAGCUGGCUAAUGCUGAUGGGAGUCUGCUGCUGUGCAGGCUCUCAGUCUACAGUGCUCCCUUCUCCCCAUUGAGCACCUCGUCUGUCCUGGGAGGAAUUAAUUACUUGUCACUUCCUCGAAGCUUACAGACCAUGCAAGCUGAGAGGAAGUAAAGGGUAAUUAAUUCCUCCCAGCACUGUCUGUAAAUAUUAAAGGAGCCCGGUCACACUGCCAAAGAGCCGCAGCCUCAUGCUACUUGCCUACCAGGAUAGCUAUAAGUGUAUGGGACCAACUGUACCCAGCCGCACCAGCACUGGUGGUAGUUCCUCCUAUGAUAAUAAUAUGUAUGGGGGUACUUGAAGAGCAACCCUUAAAUUACGGUGGAACAAACCUAUAGUUCAGAUUCAAAGCUUUGUUUUGGUUGAGAACGUGGACAAUUGCCUGCAUCCCUAAGGGGUUAAAGACCUUGAAAUGAAGCUUGAAUAUAAUAUAACCUAAUGAUGUGGGAGUCAUUGCCACAGGGUGCAGAAGUCUUCUGAGGCCACUGUGAGGAUCCAUUGAGUCCAGAUUGCCAUGCAUGUCUGGGACUUACACUCAGCUAACUUGGUGAGCUCCUACAUUGUGCGUAGCUCUUCCAUGCGUUUGAACCAGGCGGCAAUCGGGGGUGGCCUCUCCUGCCUCCAGCUGAUGGGGGUCAGACCUUUUGCUACAUUAAGAAUACUGAUAGUGAGUGAUUUCUUGUAGAUCGAUGUGCGGAGUUUGGUGUGGUGUAAGAGUAGUGCUGUUGGUUGCAGGGGUGGGGGGUCAUUUGAGAAUUUCUGCAAUAUUUUGUGGAUUGGGGUCCAGUAUGGUUUUAUCAGGUGGCAGUCCCACCAGAUGUGUAGUAGUGAGCCUGUGGCCCGUUUGAAUCUCCAGCAGCAGUCAGUGACUGCGGGGUCUAUAGUGUGUACCAGUGAGCUAGCAACUUAUAUGCUGUUUCUUGCAUCCCACUGGAUGGUGCACAGUGUAGGGUCAGGGUGCAGAUUUUGGACCAUUGUGUGGGUGUGAGUGUGAUGUCCAUGGCGGUCUCCCAUUUCCCCAUGUAAAUCGGGCGGGUAGUCUCCUGUGUUGCAUGAGGAAUUGGUAGAGGAAAGACAGUCCCCUUUCCAUGGGCUCAUGAUCUACACAUAUGGCCUCAAAGUCUGUGAAUUCUCUCAAGACCAUAUGCGUCUGCGGUAUGGAGUUGAUAAAUUGUGUAAGCUGUCUAUAUCUGAAGUGGUGCAUGAAAGUCAGUAUGGUGGGGUUUGGGAGAUCUGUCAAUAGCUUGAUGCCGCCGUCUCGUGUCGCAUGUUGUAGUUGGGGGAGGCUGUGUCCCAACAGCGUUUGAAACACUCAUGGUUCUAGUCCUGGGGUUAAUGCUGUGUUGUGGACUAUUUGGUUUAGUGGAGAUGGGUAGGAAGUAAGCUCCAGUUUGGUCGCCAGUUGGUGCCAUAUAUGCGUUGUGGCUUUGAUUAGUGGGUGUGGCAGCUAUUCUAGAGCAGUGGAGCAUGUCCAAAUACUGUAGGAUUUCUACCGGUUGUUCCACUAGCGCUGUUUCUACCGUCUUCCAGAGUUUGGAGACUCCCUGUUUGACCCAUUCAGUUAUUCUGUGGAUUUGUGUCGCCAAUUAAUAUUGUCUAAAGUUUGGCAGGGCUAGUCCGCCUUCCACUUUCGGGCAGUGAGGGUGUCAUGGCUAAUCCUGUCUUUGGUUUUGCACCAGGUGAAUCGUAGUACCAGUGUGCGAAGGGAGGUGAAGAAAGCAUCAGGGAUGGUGAUGGGUAGCAUCUGAAAAAGAUAGAGUAGUUGCAGUAGGAGUGUCAUCUUGCUGAACCAGGAGAUGCCUGGUCUGGACCAGUUUGUUCAGUAUGGGAUGGAAGUUUACUUUGUUUAGGUGUGUUAAGUCUUUCGUUAUCCAGACCCCUAAGUAUUUCAGUGAUGACAACACCCAUGUGAAGGAGUGAAUUUUGCGCAGCCCUCUCUCUAUUUUGUGGGGUAAGGAGAUGUUCAGUAUGGUGGAUUUUGUGUAGUUUAUUUUAAGGUGUGAGAUGUUGCUGUAUGUUUUGAAUUUCGUCAUGAUCAUGGGCAGGGAUAUUUUGUGUUUUGUCACAAAGAACAGUAAUUCAUUGGCAUGUGCCGCCACUGAAUGUUUGUCCCCUCCCACCUGGUGCCCAUGUAUCUGUGGGUUGUGUCGUACUGCAUUCAGGAGGGGUUCGAAGGCAAGGACGAAGAUCAGCGGUAAGAGGGGACAUCCCUGUCUCGUGCCAUUUAGAAUCGGGAAUGGUUCCGUGAGUGCCCGAUUUAUGCAUAUUCUAGCCGUUGGGGUCGUGUAGAGGGCCUCCUUUAUCCAGCCCUACAUGUACUGGCCCAUCCCCAAGAACCACAAAACCGCAAAAAAGUAAUACCAGUUGACUCUGUCAAAGGCCUUCUCUGCAUCCGUGGAGAGCAGGAGAAGGCCCGACGACUUUUGUUGCACAUAGUGGAUAAGGGACAGUGUUCGAAUCAUGUUGUCCCGUGCCUCGUGUUUAGGGAUAAACCCUAUCUGAUCCAAGUGGACCAGGUCGGGAAGGAAUCGUUGAAGGCAUGUAGACAGAAUUUUAGUGAACAAUUUGAGGUCACAAUAUAGUAAGGAUAUUGGCUUGUAAUUGGCACACUGCUCUGUGUCCUUGCCCUCUUUAGGGAUCAGGUAGAUGUUGGCCACCAGCGCGUCCAUGGGUAUCUUGUGGUUAUCUUGAAUGGAGUUAUAGGCCCUGAGGAGUUGGGGGAGAAGCAGAUCCGUAAAUUGCUUAUAGUUGCGUGUGUGGAGCCCGUCCAGGCCCAGGCUUUUGCCCAGUUUUGUCACCUUAAGUGCUCCUGUUAAUUCCUGGUGAGGGUUUGUCUAGUUCCUGCGCUUCCUCUCUAGUGAGACAUUUGUGAAUGUGGCAUUCUAGGUAAGUCAUCAGGUUGACCUCUUGUGUGUUGCCCUCCUGUUUCGGCGUGUGCCGGGGGAGGAAGUAUAGUUGUGCGUAGUAGUCACGUAUUGUCUUGGCUAUGUCGGGUAGAAGAUAUGUCAGCUUAUUGUCGGCCCUCCAUAUCUUAGGGAUAUAGGUGGACGCUCUCUUUUUGGUGAUCAUGCGAGCCAGUAAGGCCCCGCAUUUGUCUGCGUUUGUGUGGAAGAAUGCUUUCGUUUGGAGGUAUUUCCUUUGGUAGGAGACGUUUAAUAUGGUGAGCUCUCAUCUCAUGGUUGUCAGGUUGGUCCCAUCUGCUGGGAGUUGUGUUUGUUUGUGUCUCUCCUCUAGGGUCUGGAUCUCCUGUAGUAAGGUCGUGAAGUGUGCUGCUCUCUCCUUUUUCAUUGUCGUCCCCCUCGCAAUGAAGUGUCCCCUCAUGACAGGUUUGUGGGCCUCCCACAGUACCAUUGGUGAAAUUUCUGGGGUCUUGUUUUCCCGAAAGUAGUGAUUAAGGUGUUGGCGAAAGUCAGUUGUCACCAAUGGGUCUGACAGGGGUACCUCAUUGAGGUGCCACUGUCCAGAAGUAGGUCUGUGUAGGGGAGAGGAGAGUGUUGGCCAGCUGUGUGCUCCUCAUGUCAAGUAAGGAGCAUGGCCGAGCGCCCUUUAACAAUAACAGUUUAUCAACUAUAUACAGAGUACAGUGCUCCCCAAAUGCAGGGGUCAAGGGCUAGAGAGCGAGCCAGUUACUGGGUUGUUGAGCCCUCCUGUGGUGGAAAUCACUCUCACACCACUGUACAAGACAAGUGACACCCGGUAGUCCACCCUCCUCCUCUCCCCUCCCCCGUGACAGCAUGUGUGUGUGAUGUGUGAAGGUGUCCAGGGUAUGAUCUGUAAUAGUCCUUACUGCAAUUUGUAUAUGUGGUACCACAAGAUAUGUCCAUUGGCUCCUUUGAGAUUGUCCAUCAGCAUGUCCUAGUCGUAAAGUGGGCUCCUGUUAUCAGGGGACAGAGUUCGUCCGACUCUGAUGUCUGUCCGGGUGUUGAACAGUUUGCAUAUUGUUGUGGCCUGUCGGGAGUUGUCAGGGUGUCUCCGGUUCCCGGGCUUUGCCUGUUGAUUAAUGUAGUGCCCCAGCAGGCUGUGUGGACUCCAUCCGGGUUCUGUUCCACUGUUGUGAUAAAGCCUGCUCCGGAGGUUCAGGUAUCGGGCGGUAAAAGUUCAGUGGGUCAUGCCAUCGUAUGUUGAUGGGUGGCAACUGAAUGAGGUCCGAAAUAGCCAUCAUAUCGCGUUGACCUGACGUGGCCCUUCUGGCAUAGCAAGUGACAGGCCUGUUGGGAAGAUCCAGCGGUAUCGGACUUUCUGCGCAACUAAUACAGGUGUAAGAGGCUUGAGGGCUUGUUUAAAUCCCAGACUAGCCUGGCACAGGUCAGGGAAGAUUUAUAGGCCAUGGCCUUCGUGUCUGAUCUUGUGCGCAUUUCGGGCUGCCUGUAUAAUGUCCUCUUUGAGGGCAAAAUGGGCAAGGCAGCUGAUCAUGUCUCUCAGUGGAGUGUCUGGUGGCCCUCUGGGUCUUAGUGGCUGGUGUUCUUGUACAAAGUCUAUAGGGGUAUCUUCUGUUCAUGUAUCCCCUCAUGUGGAGAUUUUGGCGCCUAUCUCUGUUGUCGAGGUCUUCGAUGUGGAGUGCCAUAUGUCGUAGUUCAGACAUCUGGAGUUCAAGGGUUGAUGUAGUGGCCAUCUGGGCUGCCAUUAGGUUGUCAUGGUCAGCCACCACGUGCGCCACGCGGUCAGAGAGCCCCUGUAAGUCUGCUCGCAAGAGCUGAAUAUUGUUCCCAAUUGAGGUACGUAACGCCUUAGUGGUUUACAUCAGAUCCUCCUGGGUGGAGGCUCAUCUAGUCCAGCUGUGGUGAUUGAGGGGGUUCCUCUAGGCCUGGCGAUGCGGUGUGGAGGGCUCUGAGAAUAUGUAGGCCUUAGACGCCUCUUGGGAAGCUAGAUCUGUCUGAGAAGUCAGGUACCACCUCAUCGAGGCGGACAUCAUAUCUUGGUGGGUCCCCGAGGGUUUGGUGUUACCCGUAGCUUUAUUGUUUUUCCCCAUUUCAGGGUCUGCGGCAGCUUUCUAGUGAUUAGCAAAGAGGGGCUAGAAUUGUUUAGUGUUUUAUAGGUAUGGAUUAGUACUUUGAAUUGACUCAUAUAGGAUACAGGAAGCCAAUGUAAGGACUGACAGAGGGGUGAGGUGUGAGAGGAUUGAGUGGAGAAGAAAAUCAAUCUGGCAGCAGCAUUCAUUACAGACUGUAGCGUGGCUUCUGGGAAGACCAUUUAGGAGAGGGUUACAAUAAUCCAUGCGAGAGAUUACUAGAGCAUGGACAAGCUCCUUAGUAGUAUCUUGUGUAAGAAGGGGCGGAUGCUGGCAAUGGUUUUAAGGUGGAAUCGACAGAAUUUGGUGACAGACUGGAUGUGAGGCUCAAAGGUGAGGCCGGAAUUAAGUAUAAUGCCUAGACAGCGCACUUGCAAGGAUUGGCUAAUGUGUGUAUCACUAACUUCAAAGGAGAGCGAAAGAAGAGUAUUAGAAGGAGAGAAGACAAGGAGGUCAGUUUUAGAGAGAUUGCGUUUCAGAAAGUGGGAGGACAUCCAGUAAGAAAUGAAAGAAAGGCAAUUGGUGACAUGUUGUAGGGCAGCAGGGGAGAGGUCAGGGGAGGAGAGAUAUAUCUGGGUGUCAUCAGCAUACUGGUAGUAGCAGAAUCCAAACCAUUUACAUGAAGCUGCUUUGCUAACCCACUUCACCUUAUGCCAAAAAGCAAAUGUUAGUGCAUUUGAUUGGUUUUAUUUUGAAAAAAUGGAUAUGAGUCCUUGUGCAAUAUCUAAUUUUUUUGGUCUAAUUUAUCAGUGUUCAGCACUAAUUCUCUCUGAGUAAUCCAAUUAUUAAAUAUAUGAAAUCUACUCGAUCAAAAAAAAAAAAAGAAGAUAUCUCAUUUUAAUAAAAUACCACAGGAAGCUCCAAUUGAAAUAGUUUCAUAUGAUUUAUUAGAUUUCAAUCUAACAUCGUAGAAAAUAAGAGGAAUUUAAAAAUGUUCUGCAAGAUGGGAAAAUAAUGCCCUUCCAUCAACUUCAACAAAUAUUUGAUAUAUUAAGCAGAGGUAUUUUUACGUAUGGUAAUUGUAACACCUGCUCAAAAACUGGUGGAAAGAAAAUAUGUUAUAACAAAUUUGAAGCUAAUGGCUAUUCAUAUGACAUUAGAGAUGGUAUGACUUUCAGUUACUGCAAUGCUCACAUGCCCGUAUGGACUUAACUAUAUAGGUCGCACAACGAGAAUGUUACACAGGAGAUUCUUUGAACCUGUGUAUAACAUUAAAAUAAACUUUGCAGUACACCAAGUGUCUAUGCACUUUAGAGACUACCAUGAUGCAGACUCAACUAAGUUGGAAUUUAUGGGAAUUCAAAAAAUAAGGGGAGAUUGGAGGGGGUGGGGGUGGGGAGAGAUUUUAAUCAAAAACCAGGCCAGUCAAAAAUAAAGUGGAUCUAUGGAACACCAUAGUUCUGAAUGGCUUGAAUAAUGAUUUUGAAAUUUGCCAUUUUUUUAAAAUAUUUUAUAUAAAUUAAUGUUUUUUUUUAUUAACUUUAAACAGAAUCUUUUAUUGUUAACAAGGAGCCAAUUUUUUGAAUUUUAAAUUCAUAGUGGUUUUUGUAUAUUUUUAAUCAUCUAUCCACUCUGCCAGUCCUCCCCACCCACCUUAUUUUCCGCUAAUUCCAAUACGAAUCUGUGGAUAAAUUAUAUACAUGUAAUUUCUUUGCUUUUCCCUGUUAAUAUCUACUUUAUUCCUGACAAUGAAAACACAAGUCACGUUUUUGGAUAUGCACCUAUUUAAUUUAUUGGGAUACGUUUUUUUUAUUUUUUGAAUAAAAAAAUAAAUAAAAAAUAAAAAUAAUAAUAUAUAUAUAUCUUUUUUUAAGUAACUCAGUGCAAUCAAAAUAUGCAUUUUAAUGUAUAUUUUAUUCUUCUUUUUUCCCACAAUAGCUAUUAAAUGUCACCAUGUAUGUAUAUGUUACUUUUAAAUGCUAUUGUGUAUGUACAUAUUUUUCAUGUCUAAUUUUGAAGUAUUGGACAUACAUUCUUCAUCAAGAUCCCUAAUUUGCAAUGAUGUCUAUUUUAAAUACCAAAAUAUUAUUGCUGUUAAAUACAAAGACUCUCUCAAAUGAGGACUCUUUUCCUGCCGUCUGAGAUUAAUAAUGAACAUAUGGGAGUAUGCGAAUAAAGUUUAAUUGAUGCAUCUAUUAGGAAUAAGAACUACCUUCCUUCAGACCUUUAAAUACCCUGUUUGAAGAUGGUGAGGACAGCAUCACGUCCUGAGGAGAAACGCGUUGACGUCAUCAAAGGGGGCAGAGACAACAGGAGUUCGUUAGUACCACACUCAUAUCGCU